CUGAGAUCAUCCCAAUUUUACCACUAUAAAGAGGCAUGGAAUACAAAGUUUUUCAUCCUGAUCAUCCAGAAAAGACUUUGAUGUGUUCAGAUGCACUGAAAUUAGGCUUUAAUCUGGUUUUGGUUUUGCAGAAUGAUAGGCUUACUGAGCUUUCAUAAACCCAGUAUCAAAGUACUCCAUCUUAUUUUGGUUUUGUUACCUAUCUUGAAAAUAGGAUUUUUUUAAGUCAUGCUGAAGUACAGCUUCAAUUACAUUCUGUUAAUAAAUAACCGCUUAAUUAUGACUUCUUGCAAGAUCCCACCCCACCAAAGACUGGCAUUUAGAGGAUUAUGCCUGCAGGGAUGAGGACAGUUCAGUUUCAGAGCUGUAUCUCCUUGGUAUGACUGUUCCUGAUGGAUUGUGAACAGAAUUGUAUUGUGAAAUAUAUGCGCUUAUUGGAGUUGCUGUUAACUUCAUAAUUGCUCUGUAAUUACUAAAGAGAGAGAAUCUUGCGCUUCUGACAGCCAGUCUCACAGGAGGAGGAUGGCUUCUCCCACCACACACUGCCUCACAGUGCUCUUGUCCUGGCCUGACCUGACUGUCAUGAAGCUUGCUAUGGAUUUUGUACCUGCGCUCUGACUGUUGGGCUGCAUCAGAACUUCUCUGCUCAAGAGAACCCGUUUGCAUCGCAGCUGUGAGCAAGUCCAGCUUCUCUUGUGACACACAGAAAACUGUGAUUCAGCUCAGGUAGCUCUCUUCGUUACAUGAUGACAAAAGGGUGAUGUGUUGCUGGCCCGCUGGGAGGCCACCCACGGCCCUCAGUGUCCCAGCAUGUUCCUGUGCAUGUGAACAUCCCUGAGGCUGCUUCCUGGAGAUGUCUGUCACAUCACACGGGCCAGUUCCACUACGUGCCAGUGAUCCAUGCUAUGGCUUUGGUAUUUCACUUCUGCUGGACGUACUUUCCAGUGCAUCCUGGGAGCAUGCUUGUAUUGCCGUAACUGCAUCCCAUGGGCACCCCAAAUCAUUAAUCACCAGUGUGCUCUUUUCCUCUUCUGCUGGUUCCAGACGAGUUCCCAGUUCAUAGCGUAAACAAGUCCCAGGCCCUAGCUGGAUGGCACCAACUGGACUGUAUGUCUGGGCACUGCGUCCCACUCAUUUUUAAGGAAAAUUAAGCCCCACCCCGGAGAGUCUGCUCACAGCUCAGGCAGUUCUCUGCUGGACUGGGCUGCCUGGAGCCCGUGUUCUCCACAUCUGAAACCAGACGACCCCAGGAGCAAAGCUCCACGUUUCCAGUCACUGGUUCACAGCCUCUGGCAGUUCCUGCAGGAUGGCUGAAAACAGUGCCAUGGGGCUGGCAGCUUGCCCCCACAGCCAGUGCAUCCCAACCACACCUGCCUUGGACCUGGAGAAGGAAUCCUAUAAUCCCUGUGUGGUCCUUCAGCAUUACCCAGCAUCUCCAUCCCAAACAUUGCGUCUUCCUUCUCCUUCCUGCUCCAUAAUGCAACCACUUAUAUGGAAAAUGAAUCAGCCCUCCUUGGGCAUCUUUCCAAAUGCCCCUCUGACUAAUUCUGCCCAAAACAGCCAGGCUGACCCUGUGCAAUGGCGUGAUCAUGGCAGACAGGACUGGGUCACGUUUGGGUGGAGGAAGGGAAAAACUGUUUUGCAGGCCUGCCCAAAAAUCCUCAUGUUGACUCUGCCAAAACCACACCAAACAUAUGGUAAAUGAAAUAGCUGGCAUGGAGCUGCUUUGGACGGCAGGAGUGUUUCAGCACUGUGGACUGCUCUUUAGCUGUCUUGAAUGUUAUUUACACUGUUUUAAGUAUCUCCACAUUUAAGGGAGAGAAGGCAAAGAAGAGGGCGAUGCCAAUUUUUUUGUGCAUUUGAUGCUUUUUACAUGCACGUUAUUUUUAUAGCCAUGUUAGCACGGUCCCAAUGCUUGCCCUGUCCUGUGGCUGAGAACAGUAACAGCAUUGCAGAAGGUUUCCUCCCCUCUUCGUGUAGCAACAGACUUCGGUGGAAAAGCACACAGAAGCAUUUUCUCUCUCAAAACAGGAGCUGUGCCUAAUUCACCAUAUAAAUGUCCUGCACAUUUCAUGGAGCUGAUGAAAUCAUGUACAGAUGGAAUGCCUCUUAACAAAGGCUUUAUUCACAGGGCAGGUUUCUCUGCCAUGUAUCUUUGACUGUAUUCCAGCUUAUACAGCUAUUCCCAGUGAAUACAUCCAUGGAGCCAGACCAUUUUCUGGGCAGAUACCAAAGGUGGAUGUGCUCAGCUCCCAACACCGCACUGUGGCUUCACUACAAGUCUGAGGCUGGAAGUCAUGCCAAUGAGCAUUCCUUUCCUCACUCUGUAUUGUUCACCUGGACUCAAGCACCCAGUGCCAUUUCCAGGGUUUGUCAGGUACUUUGGAAGAAACACCGCAGGACAACAGAACCUGAGAAAGAGCAUCCAGAGAAGCCAGAGGUCUUCAGUCAUUUGGGAGACGGCCAUAGGAAUGGAGUUGUGGUGGCUACAGCUACAAAAGAUGGAUGAAAAUAAAGCAGCCAAAUGGUGAUGAUCAUGAAAAAAAAAUAAAAAAUAAAAAGUGACUGUUCUUGAGAUCGAGGUAUAGAUUUUUUUUCUUGGAGCUACAGUGGCAGAGUGCCAGCAGGAGAGCUCACCUCCUCACAUAGCAGCUGGCGGGCUGCUGGGCAGCUCUCCACCACCGUUUGCAUGUUUUAACCCUUCCCCAGCCCCAACUCAACCUGUAGCUUCUCCCAUUUGUCCAUAAGCCAUGGCGUCCUGACACUAUUGCACUCUUGAGGGUCCUGUGUAAAAGCAGGCAGGGGCUGCUGGCCUGCUCGCAUGCACACCUUCCCAGUGCUGAAAACUCAACUCCCAAAUCCCCUGUUCAUCCAACAACCUCAUCAUCUAGACAAGGAAAACAGCAGGCUGAUCUAUGCUGCAGAGCAAACUUCCUGGCACAGUCCAGUGGUAUUCGUCCAUGAACCCUUCUCUCUGCCUUUCUUUUUUGCCCUUUGUUCAGCGCUCAGUCAGUAACUCCUUAGAAACAACUCGCUAACUGCCCACGCUCAAAACAAGAACAGCAACAACAAAAGGAAUGAUAUAGAGGGAUGACUUCAUCGAGUUUGGAAAUAUCUUCUCAAAUGAAACAUUCCUUUACUCACAUACACAAGAAAGUAUCAAAAUUCUCUGCAGCUGAUGUAAACAGCAGAAAGAAAAAGUCAUCUGGAAGGACAGGAUGAUUCAUACCAAGGACCUGACUGGCAAUAUUCAUCAGUGUUGAAAUCCUCUCUGCAAGAUGACUACAUGCGAAAGCAAAACCAACGAGAUCCCAGCUUUUGCCAUGAGAAGCGUCAUUAACGGCAGAGCAGCGUGGUUAGGCUCCUAAUGCCACAACCCUUGCUCAUGGGAGUAACCCUUGCUCACUCAUCUGACCGGUCGCAGCAAAAAGCCCUGUGUCACCCAGGUGAGAAUGCUUUACAUAAGGGCAGCCACAGCAGCAGGCUGGAGCAGGCUCAGCUGUUGCAGCCUAUUUUGCAGAAGGGGCUUUGGAGCAGGAACAGAAAGUUCAAUAGCAAAAGAGAAGGGUUUUUCUCCAUCUUGCCAAAACUCCUUGCUAGGGUUUCCUCGCAGAAAUCCCUGAUUUGAGCACUUUGGGGAGACUGGAAAGUUCAGCCAAUCUUUCCCUUUAUGUUAAUUGUGUUGAUCCAAAUGGUAACAGGGCACAAAAGGCCGCGUUGACUUUAUGCACUGUUAUGAGAUACUUUCCCCUGCAUAUCUGAAUCUGUUUACUUAAUCUUCCAGGCCUUUACCCAUGAAUAUUAAACUCCUUGAUCACUAUGCAUUAGGAGUCAUCUUUGCACCAUCUGUUUGUAUUUGUCAUCUAACCCUUGUAAAUAAUAAAAUGUACUUUGUUCUCAAGUUCGUGGAUCCUAGCAGGAGAGUGAUUACCACGGAGGAAAAGUACUGUGUGAAGCUAUUAGCAGCCACAGGACUCUCCUUUAGCUCCCUGUCUCCUGUCUGCCCUCUGUGAGACAAAUGUACCAAGUCACAGGUUCCCUAUUGUUCUCCAUAUCAUUCUAUUUCUGCUGCCAACGCAUUCACCACUAUUACGGUCAUUAAACUAAAGCCGAAAACCUACCCCAAAGAGUGACUGUUAGCCUCCUUAGUCUCCUUGUAGUCCCAGAAGAGAUGAUUUCGGGUUCACAUCUCUGAAUACGAUGCAGAAAGUCUUGCUUAUGCAUGUAAAAUGAGCUAAUAGCAGAAGAGAAGGUGAGUUGCAUUCCUGGAUGCCAGUAUUCAGCUGAGAGGUUCAACUGGGAGGUACAGCUCACAAGACGCCAAGCAAACACCAAGGGAAAAAUGCAGAAAGUGCAGUCUCUAGAAUAUAAAAUUAAUCCUUGGAGUUCUGGCUUAAAAUGUUAUGCAGCAGGAAGAGCCUUGCCACAUAUUACUGAGGUUCAGCUUCAACUUCACCAACUGAGACAAGGAGGUUUCACCUGGGAGAGAGGCCCAUAGCUGCAGGUGCUCAUGGGAAGCCACGGCCGCUGGCGGGCACACCUCACACACCAGGAUCUCCCUGCAGCCAGCAGGAGACGUGCCUGGCAGCAGGCUUAUGUCCAUUCACAUCACCCAGUGAGUUGCCUCUCCAUGCUCUUAUAAGUGAACCUGGAUGUCGGGCAACUAUCACCAGUUCUCAGGCAGCUGCAGUCUAUUUAAAACCUAAUGGAGCUGAUUAGAGAAGGGAUCAUUUAGGAGAUGAUAUGGGAUCGUAUUGUAUCUAUCUGAUGUGGUGGUAGCACCAAAUUUAGACAAGAAAAUUGUUGCCAAGUAUUUGCUUAACUGGAAGAGCUGUCUGGGCUCGGACAAGAUACCACUCGCCUCUCUGCUCAGCCUUGCAAACAUCCUACACUAGGAGGUUACCUAUUAAGUGAUACACAAUAGAUCUUUUUAAUUGUUAGAGCGUUACGACCUUAGACUUUGCCCAGGUAUUUAAUAACACCAUCUGCUGUCUAGCUCUGCAAUACUAUUAUUUUUACAUGAGGAUUACUCUUCCUGCUUCACAAACAGCGCUGUAAUAACAGAGCUAAAUAAGAGCACAGCAGCGUGGUACUUACACCCUACUGUCCAAGUAAAACACACAGGAGGUGCAGCUCACCCCAAAUUUCCAGACGCAUUGUCUCCAACCUGGAAGUCUUGAAGUGCUGCAGGCGGAGGAGCUGUGGAUCCAGUCUUGUGGGUUGCACUCAGGAAAAGCUCUCGCCUUGCCUGAGAAAGGGCCAGGAGCAAAAUCCAUCCCUGUGUAGGCUGUCUGCUCCUUGGCUGGCUCUGCUUUUCCCAUUUGCUUCCCCAGAACAACAGCAAUGGUCUGCUGGCCAUGAGCUAGGAGUCACUGUGCCUUCAGGCUUUUUUCUCAUUAAUAACACACUCUUGCAGCACACGCAUUUAGCUCCAAACAGUCAUAUUUAUCUGGUUUUAUAUCUGUAUCUAUAAAGGGUCCAAGGCAAACAGAGAUGUGACCUUUGGCACUUUCAGCUGAAAUGCCUCUGUACCAAUGCACACAUCAUGGGAAGUAAGCAGGAGGAAUUGGAAACUGUGGUGCAAUUGGAAAACUACAAUCUUAUUGCUAUCAUGGAAACACGGUGGGAUGACUCACAAGAGGAAUACCAUGAUUGAGGGCUGUAAACUUUUUAGAAGGGAUAGGCAAAUUGGAGAGGUGGGGGAGUGGCCCUCUUCUUGUUAAGAAGUGGAUAAUCUGCUGAGAGCUGCCCCUGAGAAACAGUCAGGAACAGGUUAAGAGCUUGUGGGUUAAGAUUAGGGACAGGGCCAGUAAAGGGCAUCUGGUGGUCAGGG
ensembl:lncRNA